rnacentral:rRNA from 1 species
UACGUAGGGUGCGAGCGUUGUCCGGAAUUAUUGGGCGUAAAGGGCUCGUAGGCGGUUUGUCGCGUCGGGAGUGAAAACUCAGGGCUUAACCCUGAGCCUGCUUCCGAUACGGGCAGACUAGAGGUAUGCAGGGGAGAACGGAAUUCCUGGUGUAGCGGUGAAAUGCGCAGAUGUCAGGAGGAACACCGGUGGCGAAGGCGGUUCUCUGGGCAUUACCUGACGCUGAGGAGCGAAAGUGUGGGGAGCGAACAGG